ensembl:snRNA U5 U5 spliceosomal RNA
ACUCUUGUUUAUCUUCAGAUCGUAUAAAUCUUUUGCUUUUUAUCAAAAAUUUCCACGGAGAGGAACAACAAGACAUCAUUUUUCCAAGAGUUUUCUUUGGGAUUGU